ACUCCUACGGGAGGCAGCAGUGGGGAAUCUUAGACAAUGGGCGCAAGCCUGAUCUAGCCAUGCCGCGUGAGUGAUGAAGGCCUUAGGGUCGUAAAGCUCUUUCGCCUGUGAUGAUAAUGACAGUAGCAGGUAAAAGAAACCCCGGCUAACUCCGUGCCAGCAGCCGCGGUAAUACGGAGGGGGUUAGCGUUGUUCGGAAUUACUGGGCGUAAAGCGCACGUAGGCGGAUUGGAAAGUUGGGGUGAAAUCCCGGGGCUCAACCCCGGAACGGCCUCCAAAACUCCCAGUCUGGAGUUCGAGAGAGGUGAGUGGAAUUCCGAGUGUAGAGGUGAAAUUCGUAGAUAUUCGGAGGAACACCAGUGGCGAAGGCGGCUCACUGGCUCGAUACUGACGCUGAGGUGCGAAAGUGUGGGGAGCAAAC
rnacentral:rRNA from 1 species